AUGGAAGUGGUUAUAUCUCAAAAAGAGUGUGCGGCGCGGCUGCUUACCAGGAAAUGGAACACUGACGGAGACAACAGAGCAAAGAAUGCCAAGUGGCGUGUCACUUGGAAGGCCGCACACAACCGGAUGUGGUCAUGCGACAAUGGCAACCUCGUGAUCCCAUGGAAUGGAGGCAAACCGCUAAUGGCGCCAAGCCUAACUGCCAGGCCGUUCCCCCUUCCCUCCCCUCGCCUCUCCGGCGCCAAGAGCCAUCGCCUCCUCCUCGGCGUCAGAUGCGGCUCCGGCUCCGGCUCUCCCGGAAGCGGCGAUGACGACGCACCGCCGGUCGUCAGGGCGGCGGUCAGCGCCGCCACUGAGCUCCUCAGGGCCCUCUCUCCCAAGAAGCCAAGGCAAGCUGUCGAAGCCGUCAACGCAGAGUUGGAGUCGCCUCGCAGCGUCGAGGAAGUGGUGGCUGUUCUUGAAGCCGACUACCGGCGUGCUUAUUUCCUUACUGGGAACUUCACUUUGGGCAUAUAUGCUGAAGAUUGCUUGUUUGAAGACCCGACGAUAAAGUUCCGUGGAAGGUCUAGAGAUACUCCCAGAAUCUGGAUUUGUUAG
rnacentral:rRNA from 1 species